AUGGCCUUCGCAGUCUCGGACGAGCUACUGGGCACGUUCGUGCCCAUCGCGGUGUACUGGCUCUACUCGGGGCUGUACAUCGUGCUGGACGCGCUGGGGACGGCCGACUGCUACCGCCUCCACCCCAAGGAGGACGAGGAGACGAGGAACAUACCCUCCAAGCGCACCGUCCUCAAGGGCGUCCUCCUCCAACAGGCCGUCCAGGUCGCCGUCUCCCUCAUCGUCUUCAAGAUCACCGGCGAUGGAAGCCACGACACGAGGGAGCAGCCUCCGGCACCGGUGAUAGCGCUGCAGUUCGUCGUGGCGAUGUUCGCCAUGGACACGUGGCAAUACUUCGUGCACAGGUAUCUCCACACCAACAAGUUCCUGUACAAGCACGUCCACGCGCAGCACCACACCAUCCUGGUGCCCUACGCCUUCGGGGCGCUCUACAGCCACCCGCUUGAGGGCCUGCUCAUGGACACGGCCAGCGGCGCCGUCGGCUUCCUCGCGUCCGGGAUGACCCCCCGGACCGCCAUCUUCUUCAUCUCGUUCGGCGCCAUCAAGACCGUCGACGACCACUGUGGCCUCUGGCUGCCCGGCAACGUCUUCCACGCUGUCUUCGCCAACAACAGCGCCUUCCACAACAUCCACCACCAGCUCUACGGCAACAAGCACAACUUCUCGCAGCCCUUCUUCGUCGUGUGGGACAAGAUCCUCGGAACGUACAUGCCCUUCACGCUCCAGAGCCGUGAGGGUGGAGGGGUAGAGGCGCGCCCGGUUAAGCACGCCCUUGCGGCGCACGAGCAGCACAAGUCCGAUUGA
rnacentral:rRNA from 1 species